AGUUUGAUCCUGGCUCAGGAUGAACGCUAGCUACAGGCUUAACACAUGCAAGUCGAGGGGAAACGACAUCGAAAGCUUGCUUUUGAUGGGCGUCGACCGGCGCACGGGUGAGUAACGCGUAUCCAACCUGCCCACCACUUGGGGAUAACCUUGCGAAAGUAAGACUAAUACCCAAUGAUAUCUCUAGAAGACAUCUGAAAGAGAUUAAAGAUUUAUCGGUGAUGGAUGGGGAUGCGUCUGAUUAGCUUGUUGGCGGGGUAACGGCCCACCAAGGCAACGAUCAGUAGGGGUUCUGAGAGGAAGGUCCCCCACAUUGGAACUGAGACACGGUCCAAACUCCUACGGGAGGCAGCAGUGAGGAAUAUUGGUCAAUGGACGAGAGUCUGAACCAGCCAAGUAGCGUGCAGGAUGACGGCCCUAUGGGUUGUAAACUGCUUUUAUAAGGGAAUAAAGUGAGUCUCGUGAGACUUUUUGCAUGUACCUUAUGAAUAAGGACCGGCUAAUUCCGUGCCAGCAGCCGCGGUAAUACGGAAGGUCCGGGCGUUAUCCGGAUUUAUUGGGUUUAAAGGGGGCGUAGGCCGGAGAUUAAGCGUGUUGUGAAAUGUAGACGCUCAACGUCUGCACUGCAGCGCGAACUGGUUUCCUUGAGUACGCACAAAGUGGGCGGAAUUCGUGGUGUAGCGGUGAAAUGCUUAGAUAUCACGAAGAACUCCGAUUGCGAAGGCAGCUCACUGGAGCGCAACUGACGCUGAAGCUCGAAAGUGCGGGUAUCGAACAGGAUUAGAUACCCUGGUAGUCCGCACGGUAAACGAUGGAUGCCCGCUGUUGGUCUGAAUAGGUCAGCGGCCAAGCGAAAGCAUUAAGCAUCCCACCUGGGGAGUACGCCGGCAACGGUGAAACUCAAAGGAAUUGACGG
rnacentral:rRNA from 1 species